AGUAGUGCGAGCCGCGACCGGCGCCCGGGGACGGCGGCCGGACCGGCUCCGUGCUCUGUGACCGGAACGCAUCGAGUCAGACGUGUGUGACGAGGCUUAUCGACCGCGCGGGGCCCCUAUAAUCCAGUGAGUUGUGUUCGUGCGAGUUCGAGUUCCUGUGCGGGCUCUGUGUGGCCAUCGCAGCCGGGUUCGGUGGAGGUGGCGGCUCCAUUUUACUGAAGGAUCUCACCUAUCCGAUAAACUUGCCACGCCCCAACAGUGCCGUUAUGUAAAGUAUCAACGACGUGGAAGACAUCGCCGCAGCGAAAAGACAUUUCCCCAUCAGUCGGC